rnacentral:lncRNA from 1 species
UGGCACGCGGAGACUUACGUCCUCUACCGCGCCUUUGUCAUCCUGACCUGUGAAGUCAGACGACAUACGGAGAUACCCAAGCGGUUAUCCGUACAAACGUUUUCUAUCAUCCUGACACGUGAAGUCAGGUGACAUACGGAGAUACCCAAGUGGUUAUCUGUACAAAUGGUUUCUGUCAUCCUGACCCGUGAAGUCAGGUGACUUACGGAGAUACGCAAGCGGUUAUCCAUACAAACGGUUUC